AUUGAACGCUGGCGGCAGGCCUAACACAUGCAAGUCGAACGAGUGGCGGACGGGUGAGUAAUGUCUGGGAAACUGCCUGAUGGAGGGGGAUAACUACUGGAAACGGUAGCUAAUACCGCCUACAUUCGGUUGUGCCCAGAUGGGAUUAGCUAGUAGGUGGGGUAAAGGCUCACCUAGGCGACGGUCCCUAGCUGGGCUGAGAGGAUGACCAGCCACACUGGACAUGAGACACGGGCAAGACUCCGACGGGAGGAAGCAUGGGGGAAUAUUGCACAAGGGGCGCAAGCCUGAUGCAGCCAUGCCGCGUGUAUGAAGAAGGCCUUCGGGUUGUAAAGUACUUUCAGCGGGGAGGCGUUACCCGCAGAAGAAGCACCGGCUAACUCCGUGCCAGCAGCCGCGGUAAUUC
rnacentral:rRNA from 1 species